rnacentral:rRNA from 1 species
CUACGGGAGGCAGCAGUGGGGAAUAUUGCACAAUGGGCGCAAGCCUGAUGCAGCCAUGCCGCGUGUGUGCAGAAGGCCUUCGGGUUGUAAAGCACUUUCAGCGGGGAGGAAGGCGGUGAGGUUAAUAACCUCAUCGAUUGACGUUACCCGCAGAAGAAGCACCGGCUAACUCCGUGCCAGCAGCCGCGGUAAUACGGAGGGUGCAAGCGUUAAUCGGAAUUACUGGGCGUAAAGCGCACGCAGGCGGUCUGUCAAGUCGGAUGUGAAAUCCCCGGGCUCAACCUGGGAACUGCAUUCGAAACUGGCAGGCUAGAGUCUUGUAGAGGGGGGUAGAAUUCCAGGUGUAGCGGUGAAAUGCGUAGAGAUCUGGAGGAAUACCGGUGGCGAAGGCGGCCCCCUGGACAAAGACUGACGCUCAGGUGCGAAAGCGUGGGGAGCAAACAGGAUUAGAUACCCGGGUAGUC